AUGCCAUAGUGUGGACAUUGUCUAAGCAAUUCCUUGAAUCUUUUCCAUGCAUCAAACAAAAACUCGUCAUCUCCUUACCUAAAUGAAGUGAUUUCAUUUAUCAUCUU